rnacentral:rRNA from 1 species
UACGUAGGGGGCAAGCGUUGUCCGGAAUUAUUGGGCGUAAAGCGCGCGCAGGCGGCGGUUUAAGUUUGGUGUUUAAGCCCGGGGCUCAACUCCGGUUCGCACUGAAAACUGGAUCGCUUGAGUGCAGGAGAGGGAAGUGGAAUUCCACGUGUAGCGGUGAAAUGCGUAGAGAUGUGGAGGAACACCAGUGGCGAAGGCGACUUCCUGGCCUGUAACUGACGCUGAGGCGCGAAAGCGUGGGGAGCGAAACAGGAUUAGAACCGUACCGUCGUAGACCAA